rnacentral:rRNA from 1 species
AGAGACAGCAGCAGCCGCGGGAAUACGUAGGGUGCAAGCGUUAAUCGGAAUUACUGGGCGUAAAGCGUGCGCAGGCGGUUAUAUAAGACAGAUGUGAAAUCCCCGGGCUCAACCUGGGAACUGCAUUUGUGACUGUAUAGCUAGAGUACGGCAGAGGGGGAUGGAAUUCCGCGUGUAGCAGUGAAAUGCGUAGAUAUGCGGAGGAACACCGAUGGCGAAGGCAAUCCCCUGGGCCUGUACUGACGCUCAUGCACGAAAGCGUGGGGAGCAAACAGGAUUAGAUACCCCGGUAGUCCCUGUCUCUUAUAC